GGGUUGUGAGGUUAAGCGACUAAGCGUACACGGUGGAUGCCCUGGCAGUCAGAGGCGAUGAAGGACGUGCUAAUCUGCGAUAAGCGUCGGUAAGGUGAUAUGAACCGUUAUAACCGGCGAUUUCCGAAUGGGGAAACCCAGUGUGAUUCGUCACACUAUCAUUAACUGAAUCCAUAGGUUAAUGAGGCGAACCGGGGGAACUGAAACAUCUAAGUACCCCGAGGAAAAGAAAUCAACCGAGAUUCCCCCAGUAGCGGCGAGCGAACGGGGAGCAGCCCAGAGCCUGAAUCAGUGUGUGUGUUAGUGGAAGCGUCUGGAAAGGCGCGCGAUACAGGGUGACAGCCCCGUACACAAAAAUGCACAUGCUGUGAGCUCGAUGAGUAGGGCGGGACACGUGGUAUCCUGUCUGAAUAUGGGGGGACCAUCCUCCAAGGCUAAAUACUCCUGACUGACCGAUAGUGAACCAGUACCGUGAGGGAAAGGCGAAAAGAACCCCGGCGAGGGGAGUGAAAAAGAACCUGAAACCGUGUACGUACAAGCAGUGGGAGCACGCUUAGGCGUGUGACUGCGUACCUUUUGUAUAAUGGGUCAGCGACUUAUAUUCUGUAGCAAGGUUAACCGAAUAGGGGAGCCGAAGGGAAACCGAGUCUUAACUGGGCGUUAAGUUGCAGGGUAUAGACCCGAAACCCGGUGAUCUAGCCAUGGGCAGGUUGAAGGUUGGGUAACACUAACUGGAGGACCGAACCGACUAAUGUUGAAAAAUUAGCGGAUGACUUGUGGCUGGGGGUGAAAGGCCAAUCAAACCGGGAGAUAGCUGGUUCUCCCCGAAAGCUAUUUAGGUAGCGCCUCGUGAAUUCAUCUCCGGGGGUAGAGCACUGUUUCGGCAAGGGGGUCAUCCCGACUUACCAACCCGAUGCAAACUGCGAAUACCGGAGAAUGUUAUCACGGGAGACACACGGCGGGUGCUAACGUCCGUCGUGAAGAGGGAAACAACCCAGACCGCCAGCUAAGGUCCCAAAGUCAUGGUUAAGUGGGAAACGAUGUGGGAAGGCCCAGACAGCCAGGAUGUUGGCUUAGAAGCAGCCAUCAUUUAAAGAAAGCGUAAUAGCUCACUGGUCGAGUCGGCCUGCGCGGAAGAUGUAACGGGGCUAAACCAUGCACCGAAGCUGCGGCAGCGACGCUUAUGCGUUGUUGGGUAGGGGAGCGUUCUGUAAGCCUGUGAAGGUGUACUGUGAGGUAUGCUGGAGGUAUCAGAAGUGCGAAUGCUGACAUAAGUAACGAUAAAGCGGGUGAAAAGCCCGCUCGCCGGAAGACCAAGGGUUCCUGUCCAACGUUAAUCGGGGCAGGGUGAGUCGACCCCUAAGGCGAGGCCGAAAGGCGUAGUCGAUGGGAAACAGGUUAAUAUUCCUGUACUUGGUGUUACUGCGAAGGGGGGACGGAGAAGGCUAUGUUGGCCGGGCGACGGUUGUCCCGGUUUAAGCGUGUAGGCUGGUUUUCCAGGCAAAUCCGGAAAAUCAAGGCUGAGGCGUGAUGACGAGGCACUACGGUGCUGAAGCAACAAAUGCCCUGCUUCCAGGAAAAGCCUCUAAGCAUCAGGUAACAUCAAAUCGUACCCCAAACCGACACAGGUGGUCAGGUAGAGAAUACCAAGGCGCUUGAGAGAACUCGGGUGAAGGAACUAGGCAAAAUGGUGCCGUAACUUCGGGAGAAGGCACGCUGAUAUGUAGGUGAAGUCCCUCGCGGAUGGAGCUGAAAUCAGUCGAAGAUACCAGCUGGCUGCAACUGUUUAUUAAAAACACAGCACUGUGCAAACACGAAAGUGGACGUAUACGGUGUGACGCCUGCCCGGUGCCGGAAGGUUAAUUGAUGGGGUCAGCGCAAGCGAAGCUCUUGAUCGAAGCCCCGGUAAACGGCGGCCGUAACUAUAACGGUCCUAAGGUAGCGAAAUUCCUUGUCGGGUAAGUUCCGACCUGCACGAAUGGCGUAAUGAUGGCCAGGCUGUCUCCACCCGAGACUCAGUGAAAUUGAACUCGCUGUGAAGAUGCAGUGUACCCGCGGCAAGACGGAAAGACCCCGUGAACCUUUACUAUAGCUUGACACUGAACAUUGAGCCUUGAUGUGUAGGAUAGGUGGGAGGCUUUGAAGUGUGGACGCCAGUCUGCAUGGAGCCGACCUUGAAAUACCACCCUUUAAUGUUUGAUGUUCUAACGUUGACCCGUAAUCCGGGUUGCGGACAGUGUCUGGUGGGUAGUUUGACUGGGGCGGUCUCCUCCUAAAGAGUAACGGAGGAGCACGAAGGUUGGCUAAUCCUGGUCGGACAUCAGGAGGUUAGUGCAAUGGCAUAAGCCAGCUUGACUGCGAGCGUGACGGCGCGAGCAGGUGCGAAAGCAGGUCAUAGUGAUCCGGUGGUUCUGAAUGGAAGGGCCAUCGCUCAACGGAUAAAAGGUACUCCGGGGAUAACAGGCUGAUACCGCCCAAGAGUUCAUAUCGACGGCGGUGUUUGGCACCUCGAUGUCGGCUCAUCACAUCCUGGGGCUGAAGUAGGUCCCAAGGGUAUGGCUGUUCGCCAUUUAAAGUGGUACGCGAGCUGGGUUUAGAACGUCGUGAGACAGUUCGGUCCCUAUCUGCCGUGGGCGCUGGAGAACUGAGGGGGGCUGCUCCUAGUACGAGAGGACCGGAGUGGACGCAUCACUGGUGUUCGGGUUGUCAUGCCAAUGGCACUGCCCGGUAGCUAAAUGCGGAAGAGAUAAGUGCUGAAAGCAUCUAAGCACGAAACUUGCCCCGAGAUGAGUUCUCCCUGACUCCUUGAGAGUCCUGAAGGAACGUUGAAGACGACGACGUUGAUAGGCCGGAUGUGUAAGCGCAGCGAUGCGUUGAGCUAACCGGUACUAAUGAACCGUGAGGCUUAACCUUACAACGCCGAAG
rnacentral:rRNA from 1 species